CUACCAUUAUGGUUGUCAUGCAGCUCUGACAGUAGAAGCCUGUAGAAUAAGCAGAUGAUGCAAGUCAUAAGUUUUUCCAUCAUGUGAAAAAUGUCGUUUUGAGGUGGAUGUGCCCAGUAGGGAAAUGAAGGUGUGUCGAGUUCAUGGGUGUCCUGAACAUGGUUCACCACUCGGCCUCCAUCACAUCAGAAUCUCCUUUAGCAUUGGAAGCUGCAGUCCAGUACAGGUGGUUGAUGAUGGCUGGCUGCUUCAGGUCCUCCAGUCCUGCUCCUUCAUGCCUGCAUCCAAAGCCUCCCUGGAUCUGUUUCAGAACAGAAACAAUAUGUUGAAAUAAAAUGUUAGACAUAAAAAACAGCCAACUAAACUACAAACAUCAGGAUACAAACUUUUACCAAUAUGCCAGACAUUUAAGAAAUGGUGUGUUCCUUCUUGACACACUAUGACAAAAGAUGUGGGAUAUCAAAGGAACUGAAGGUGUUUACAUGAUGUUGAGCCGUCAUCAGAUGCUGCUGAGCAAUCAGCUGGCACACCUGGUAUUUAUUAGCUGUUUCCUGACACCUCUAGCUGCUCCUGAGGAUGGUCUCAAAGUUACACAGAAAGCUUGAAACUACCCGUGUCUGUCCUUUUUGAGAGUAACUCUUACUUUAAAUAACAGUGCAACGUCAUACAUACACUAUUAUGCUGGAGAACAUGGUGAAGGUCAAUCAUUAAUAACUGUGUGAUAUGGAACAAAUGCAGCUAACGUUAGAUAUGAGAGGCCCUCAGAGACACCACCACUCAUUACUACAACAUCUCCCAAAACCUUAUAUCACAGCUACAUAACACAAAUGUUUCAGCUGAGCAAACAGAAAGUCACAAAGUUAUGUAACUAGAUACCAGGAUCCUGCGUUAGAUAACAGAACUUAAUUAACAUCAUGCUGUGUCAAAUGGUAACCGCCUUUACAAAAUAGGAUGCUAACAAUGUUAGCCAGCUGUUAACUAACGUUAGCAUUAUCCCUCGUCAGCUAGCAGGUUAGGUGUGCUGCCUAACAACAAUCAAAACUCCACAUAUCAAAACAGGAGGAAGCUCUGCAUGGUUCUGAUGGCUCAUGUGACAGGUGCUCUUUAGUAGGGCAGGUGAAAACACACAAAAAAGCAGAAUCCAGGAAGUCUUGCUGAAUAUUAGGCCUUAAGUUGCGCAGACAGCCAUGGAAAAAAAAACGAAACUCCAUCUUCAAGUGAAAUAAUGCAUUUAUUCUUUGAGCAUAGGCAAUCAAACAGACCAAUGCGUUACCGACUCUACAUCUUCAUCAGGGUCUGAUGACCUGAAAAACUUCCUGGGUUCUGCUUUUUUAACAAUAAAAACUCGUCAGACAUAACUUCUUAAUUCAAGCCAGUGUCCUGACUGAUUUGUAAGUUAAAAAUAUUAGAAACAAGAACUUACCAGAACAGUUCAUGUCUUCUUGAGCUGAGUCUCUCCGGUCGGCACUGAGCUGCUGCUUAAGGCGGAGCUGAUGAGGCAGCUGUGUUUACCGGAGGAACCGUACUAGCUAUCAGCCUCACACAGUCCUAGUUUGACGUCCCAUCCUGAACUUCAUCAUAUCACAAAUAACAUAACCCUCCUGUCUAAAAUGGGCCUGCACACAACUGUGUUCUUCCGUUACAGAGGCAGCAAUGAAGACUUCACCUGCACAAAACUCAGCCGGGCACAAAAACUAGCUGCUGCUUUUCCUGCUAGGAAAGUGGACAUCAGGUCCUGAAAGGCUGGAAUUUGUGCAUCCUGAACAACCACAAUUAUUCACAGUGAUGAAAAAUGAUAAAAUGCAAAACAAAACUAGAAACAAACAAAAAAAAAGAAAUACAAAUUCACUUAAUGACGACUGCUCAGACUCAUUCGUACUUAGUACAGCACAGUGUACUGCAGCUGGGACAGGGAGAGGGACUCCCUCUAGUGACGUAAUAUGACGCAUUGUUGAAAAAAGGCUUGUUUUAAGGGUGCUGCUCAAAAUGCUAACUUUUCAGUCUGAAUUUCUACCUUUAUGUUUCGUUAAACUAAUCAAAUCACACAUUAACCUUUCACUGGAUAAUUUUCAUGAUAAAUAUACUGUAAAUCCAGUAAAAACUCUUUAAGUCUGGGCAGAGACAGUGUUAGAUUGUGUGUUGUUAGUUUUAGCUUUAUAAGCUUUAUUGCUCUUGUGUUGUUGUGAAUUGACGGACCACUGAGUCCCUUUGCUCUGCUAUAUUCCGAGGAGUAUUUGAAGUUUCCUGCCUGUUUAGUUGUGUUUGGCCCACUUGGGACUGCUGUGUUUGUGUCACCGGGAGUGAGAAAAUGUCUCCUGUUUGUCUGGUAGCCUAACGCUUUUUGGGUGGGUCAGUGACCGGCGUAGGUCAAGUCGAUCUGCAAAAGGUUCCGCGAUGCACACGCGCUGCUCACGCAGCCUGUGUGUCCCAGGCGUAAUGCAUGAGAACUGCAAGGAGAAGGAGAGGGAGUGAGGAAGAUGCAGGUGAGAGAUAUGGUCCACAACCAGGUUAUUAUAGUUUACAUUAAUACAGAGAGAAUGAGGAUACAGCCAUUUCAUACAGGAGAGCAGCGUGGCUUUACCUAUGUACGCAGAGGUUCAUAUGAGGCAGCUGUCACUGUAUAGAGACUCCAAUCUACACUUCACUGAUAAACUGAGAAUUAGACAGAGUUACCAUCAUAUUAUAUGAUGUAGGCCUGCUAGGAUAAUUUAUAUCUAAUGACUUUGGCCAAAGAACCUCACACAAGGCAGAAAGCCAAAACAGAAGAAAGGGGCGGCGCUGGCCCAAAAAAGACU